CUCCUCCCUUCUCCUUCAAAGCUUUGUCUCGGCUAUGAAUAUUCAGAUGAGGCGUGAUGUGAUUACACUGUACAAUUACUCCUAUCCAUGGUGGUGGCAGGCGCUGCUGGGGAGAACGAGCCAGACAGCCUCCAAGCCAGUGUGGAGUUUUGUUUUUGGUAUUUUUUUUCCCCUAUCUCCUGGCACCGCGGCACAUGCAGAUGUCGCUGUUGUUCUUUAUAAAGCUCUAAUGACAUGCAAAGGCAUAACGACUUGGUUUGGACGCAAAGCAUCAACUGAAUGUUAUGGAUGUCUUUAAGAAAGAGAAAGAGAAAAUCCUGACUGAAGGAAUGUCCACAUAAAUUAUUUUUAUUUAAAUGAAUUCAAAGGAUGGGGUGAGGGCAAGUGAGGAGUCACAUGGAAAACACGCAUAAUAUUAAUAUGCACAAAGAAUUCUUACGGAGGACAGGCCCCUCACCACAGCUCAUGGGGCAAACAGGUUCAUUAGGAGACAGCUCUGAGCGACUACGGCAUUUUGGUAUUUCGAUUUCUCCCUUAUUUUAAACGAAGAGUCAGACAGAUGUGCUUCCUUUGCUUGGCAGCAUUGAGACGGAUCUAAUCUGUGAAAUUUGCUGCCCAAAUAGCAUUUCUAAUGGAAUCUGGGACUAAACAGGGGCAAGGAUGUGGAAGGGAGGGGAGAAGAGAGAACCCACGAAGAGGAGGCUACUCAGCCAGUGCGAGGCUUUUUGUAGCAAAGGAAGCUGUCAGAAGCCAUCUUUGCGGCACUGGCCCCAGGUGUGGGCUCCUGGUCCAGAGAGCCAUCAGGUUCACCACGAUGAACACUGAGCAGGGCCCUUGUAGGUCUGAGGCAGAGGAAAGCAGCGGCGGCGGCUUGGUGCCCACCCUUUACCCCCUCAGUGGUCUUCAGCUCAGAAGCCAAAAGCACAGCUACUAUUCUGGGUUGCAGUAGAAUGCCUCCUGGUCCAGGCAUUUGUGGAAGAAGGAAUUUCUUGGCGCUCUCGCAGAGUAUGUCGCUAAAGAGCAGAAGGGAUCAUCCGCUGCUUAAGGAGGCCUGAUAAUUGCUGUGCCGGUUGGUUCUCAGGGUCUGGCAUGGCCACAGAAGAGAUGGUGUGAUACUGUUCCCAGUCCUGCAGCAGAGCCAGUAUGACAUGGGACUUCUCGAAUGCUGAAAGUUACUGUAGGCCUAAGGGUCUCCCAGCUAAGCAUUUGCAUCGAGUCUCACAAAAGACCUUGGACUUGGACUUCUGAACAACAUUGAAACUGUCAAUAUUUGGAGGACUCUAGGAGACAGUCUAUGUACAGUUUGCAUUGUGAGAUGGCCGUAAACUUUUCUGGGCUAAGAGCAGAAUGCUAUCGUUUGAAAAUGAAAAUGAAAUGUCCCUUCAAGCUCAGGUUUUAAACCAUUGGUACACAGUUUAGGAGGUGCUAGAACUUAGCUAGAGAAUGUAGCUCACUGGAUAUGGACAUUUGACGACCAUAACCAGGGUCUCUCCACCUACUGUUUGCCAUCCACCAUGAGGUAAGUAGCUUCUGUCACAUAUUCCCACUGCAUGAUAUUUUGCUUCAUCCAGGUUUAUCUAGAACUAAUAAAGUCAGACCAUGCACACAGCCAAAAUAAAUAAUUCCUCCUGCUGA